AUGAACGCUGGCGGCGUGCCUAAUACCUGCAAGUCGAGCGAACAGACGAGGAGCUUGCUCCUCUGACGUUAGCGGCGGACGGGUGAGUAACACGUGGAUAACCUACCUAUAAGCCUGGGAUAACUUCGGGAAACCGGAGCUAAUACCGGAUAAUAUAUUGAACCGCAUGGUUCAAUAGUGAAAGACGGUUUUGCUGUCACUUAUAGAUGGAUCCGCGCCGCAUUAGCUAGUUGGUAAGGUAACGGCUUACCAAGGAAACGAUGCGUAGCCGACCUGAGAGGGUGAUCGGCCACACUGGAACUGAGACACGGUCCAGACUCCUACGGGAGGCAGCAGUAGGGAAUCUUCCGCAAUGGGCGAAAGCCUGACGGAGCAACGCCGCGUGAGUGAUGAAGGUCUUCGGAUCGUAAAACUCUGUUAUUAGGGAAGAACAAAUGUGUAAGUAACUAUGCACGUCUUGACGGUACCUAAUCAGAAAGCCACGGCUAACUACGUG
rnacentral:rRNA from 1 species